GCCGUGGUGGUGCAGUGGUCAGCACACCCGAUCCCACACUUUCUCUAAGUUCGUUCGCUUUCUCUAAACACUCUCUCUCAGGGAUCGGGAGGUCGCUGGUUCGAAUCCAGCUCAUGGUA
rnacentral:tRNA from 1 species